CAGCAGUGGGGAAUAUUGCACAAUGGGGGAAACCCUGAUGCAGCGACGCCGCGUGGAGGAAGAAGGUCUUCGGAUUGUAAACUCCUGUUGUUGAGGAAGAUAAUGACGGUACUCAACAAGGAAGUGACGGCUAACUACGUGCCAGCAGCCGCGGUAAAACGUAGGUCACAAGCGUUGUCCGGAAUUACUGGGUGUAAAGGGAGCGCAGGCGGGAAGACAAGUUGGAAGUGAAAUCCAUGGGCUCAACCCAUGAACUGCUUUCAAAACUGUUUUUCUUGAGUAGUGCAGAGGUAGGCGGAAUUCCCGGUGUAGCGGUGGAAUGCGUAGAUAUCGGGAGGAACACCAGUGGCGAAGGCGGCCUACUGGGCACCAACUGACGCUGAGGCUCGAAAGUGUGGGUAGCAAACAGGAUUAGAUACCCUGGUAGUCCACACCGUAAACGAUGAUUACUAGGUGUUGGAGGAUUGACCCCUUCAGUGCCGCAGUUAACACAAUAAGUAAUCCACCUGGGGAGUACGACCGCAAGGUUGAAACUCAAAGGAAUUGACGGGGGCCCGCACAAGCAGUGGAGUAUGUGGUUUAAUUCGACGCAACGCGAAGAACCUUACCAAGUCUUGACAUCCUGCGACGGUGCUGGAAACAGUACUUUCCUUCGGGACGCAGAGACAGGUGGUGCAUGGUUGUCGUCAGCUCGUGUCGUGAGAUGUUGGGUUAAGUCCCGCAACGAGCGCAACCCUUAUCUUUAGUAGCCAGCAGUAAGAUGGGCACUCUAGAGAGACUGCCGGGGAUAACCCGGAGGAAGGUGGGGAUGACGUCAAAUCAUCAUGCCCCUUAUGACCAGGGCUACACACGUGCUACAAUGGCGUAAACAAAGAGAAGCGAAGUCGUGAGGCAGAGCGAAUCUCAAAAAUAACGUCUCAGUUCGGAUUGUAGUCUGCAACUCGACUACAUGAAGCUGGAAUCGCUAGUAAUCGCGAAUCAGAAUGUCGCGGUGAAUACGUUCCCGGGUCUUGUACACACCGCCCGUCACACCAUGGGAGUCGGAAAUGCCCGAAGCCAGUGACCCAAGCGAAAGCAGGGAGCUGUCGAAGGCAGGUCUGAUAACUGGGGUGAAGUCGUAACAAGGUAGCCGUAUCGGAAGGUGCGGCUG
rnacentral:rRNA from 1 species